GGGGAUAUAGCUUAGUGGUAGAGCAUUCGACUGCACAUAUACGGUUCAAAUCCAGGUGUCCCCU
rnacentral:tRNA from 1 species